rnacentral:rRNA from 1 species
UGGGGAAUAUUGCACAAUGGGCGCAAGCCUGAUGCAGCCAUGCCGCGUGUAUGAAGAAGGCCUUCGGGUUGUAAAGUACUUUCAGUCGGGAGGAAGGUGGUAAGGUUAAUAACCUUAUCAAUUGACGUUACCGACAGAAGAAGCACCGGCUAACUCCGUGCCAGCAGCCGCGGUAAUACGGAGGGUGCAAGCGUUAAUCGGAAUUACUGGGCGUAAAGCGCACGCAGGCGGUUGAUUGAGUCAGAUGUGAAAUCCCCGGGCUUAACCCGGGAAUUGCAUCUGAUACUGGUCAGCUAGAGGCUUGUAGAGGGGGAUAGAAUUCCAUGUGUAGCGGUGAAAUGCGUAGAGAUGUGGAGGAAUACCGGUGGCGAAGGCGGCCCCCUGGACAAAGACUGACGCUCAGGUGCGAAAGCGUGGGGAGCAAACAGG